AUUGUGUUAUUAAAACAAGAAAAAUCUCCAUUGUACAUUCAACAGUGUGGGUGAGCAUGGGUGUGAAGAAUGCCUAUGAUGUUGUUGGUGAGUAUGGUGUGAAGAAUGAAUAUGAGGGUGCGGGUUGAUAUGGGUGUGAAGAUUAAAUAUACGGGAGUUGAUGAUCAUUGGUGUGAAAAAAAAAUGUGAGGGUGCGGGUUACUCUGGGUGUGAAGAACGAAUAUGAGCGUGUGGGUGAGUAUGAUGUGAAUAAUGAAUAUGAGGGUGCGGUUGAAUAUGGGUGGGUGAAGAAUGAAUAUACGGGAGUUGAUGAUCAUUGGUGUGAAAACAAAAAUAUGAGGGUGCGGGUUACUCUGGGAGUGAAGAACGAAUAUGAACAUGUGGGUGAGUAUGGUGUGAAGAAUGAAUUUGAGGGUGCGUGCUACUAUGGAAGUGAAGAAUGAAUAAAAUAAGGAUGCGGUUGAGUUUGGGUGGGUGAAGAAUUAAUAUACAUGUAAGGGAUGUUGAUAAAUAUGGGUAUGCAUGUGAGGCUGUGGGUUAGAAUAGGUGUGAACAGAAUAAUGUAAAGUUGUGGUUGAUUAUGGGUGUGAAAAAUGAAUAUGAUGUUGUAGGUGAGUAUGGUGGAAGAAUGAAUAUACAGGUCUGAGUGAGUGUCAGAGCGCCCCUGAAUUAGUUAACUACUUUUCCCUCUGCCUUGAAUUCUUGUUAUCCAUUUGAAAGGAGCUGCACUUGGUCUUAAUAAUUGAUAUGCAAAUCAACUCCACCACUUUACUGUAGGUUGAGUGCACAGUUUGUAUAGUCAGUGGGGUGUGGAGCUAUGUUGGGUGAGUUGCAGAGGUCUAUACAGAAAGCUGGGACCAUUUUAUGAUUUUUACUGAGGGAACACGCAGACCCUCACUGAGAAGGAUUUCUUCUAGUUUUAUUUUGCCAGCUUCAAGCUAUUUACUGGCAGUUGGUUAUUAUUUCUACAUUCCAGAAAUCAAGUGUGGCUCCUAUUUCAUGGAAAGACUGAUCCACGUCCGAUUCCAUGUCAUUCAUUCUGAAGGGGGCGCUAUUCACGCUAUUUAUUCUGAGUGAACUACUCUACGUGAUUGUGAUCUCGGAUCUGCUUUGUGACCCCAAUCUGGGUGAGGGGGAGGUGAUACGAGCGUUCCAUUCUGCGAUACAUGGAUUCAUAGACAGUUCAUCGAUGACGAUUAAGUGAUCAACGAUCAACGUUUGUUCGAUGUCAGUAAGUCUUUUCGACCGGUAAGCGGAUAUCGUUUUCAAGGAACAUCUAUAUGCUCUACAUUGGUGUUUACUCACUACGGAACUUUACUCGAUGAGCAUCGCUCUGAUUCCGAAAUCGCAUAUGCCAAAGACAAUGAUUGAACUGGACUAAAACAAGCUAUUUCCACCUGAAAUAAUUGUAUAUGAGCUCAAAUGUCAUGCCGGUCCGGUUUUGAUAUUAAUAAUCCUUUUUCCAAAAUUUACAUAUCAAAGUGUAAUCUGUCACUCUAGGGGUUUUAGUCUUUGUAUUUCAUAUUCAUUUCACUUGUAGUUAUGAAUGAUGUACUUCGACUAGAGUUAAAGGAAUUUACAAAGAGGAGUGAUUGACUGUAAACCUUGAAAAGGUGAUAGUUUGAAUAUUCUGUUAAUAAAGCUAAACUUAAAUUUAAA